rnacentral:rRNA from 1 species
UAACGUCCGUCGUGAAGAGGGAAACAACCCAGACCGCCAGCUAAGGUCCCAAAGUCAUGGUUAAGUGGGAAACGAUGUGGGAAGGCCCAGACAGCCAGGAUGUUGGCUUAGAAGCAGCCAUCAUUUAAAGAAAGCGUAAUAGCUCACUGGUCGAGUCGGCCUGCGCGGAAGAUGUAACGGGGCUAAACCAUGCACCGAAGCUGCGGCAGCGACACUGUGUGUUGUUGGGUAGGGGAGCGUUCUGUAAGCCUGUGAAGGUGUGUCGUGAGGCAUGCUGGAGGUAUCAGAAGUGCGAAUGCUGACAUAAGUAACGAUAAAGCGGGUGAAAAGCCCGCUCGCCGGAAGACCAAGGGUUCCUGUCCAACGUUAAUCGGGGCAGGGUGAGUCGACCCCUAAGGCGAGGCCGAAAGGCGUAGUCGAUGGGAAACGGGUUAAUAUUCCCGUACUUGGUGUUACUGCGAAGGGGGGACGGAGAAGGCUAUGUUGGCCGGGCGACGGUUGUCCCGGUUUAAGCGUGUAGGUGUGUGUUCCAGGUAAAUCCGGUUCACUUUAACACUGAGGCGUGACGACGAGGCACUACGGUGCUGAAGCAACAAAUGCCCUGCUUCCAGGAAAAGCCUCUAAGCAUCAGGUAACAUCAAAUCGUACCCCAAACCGACACAGGUGGUCAGGUAGAGAAUACCAAGGCGCUUGAGAGAACUCGGGUGAAGGAACUAGGCAAAAUGGUGCCGUAACUUCGGGAGAAGGCACGCUGACACGUAGGUGAAGUGAUUUACUCAUGGAGCUGAAGUCAGUCGAAGAUACCAGCUGGCUGCAACUGUUUAUUAAAAACACAGCACUGUGCAAACACGAAAGUGGACGUAUACGGUGUGACGCCUGCCCGGUGCCGGAAGGUUAAUUGAUGGGGUCAGCGCAAGCGAAGCUCCUGAUCGAAGCCCCGGUAAACGGCGGCCGUAACUAUAACGGUCCUAAGGUAGCGAAAUUCCUUGUCGGGUAAGUUCCGACCUGCACGAAUGGCGUAAUGAUGGCCAGGCUGUCUCCACCCGAGACUCAGUGAAAUUGAACUCGCUGUGAAGAUGCAGUGUACCCGCGGCAAGACGGAAAGACCCCGUGAACCUUUACUAUAGCUUGACACUGAACAUUGAGCCUUGAUGUGUAGGAUAGGUGGGAGGCUUUGAAGUGUGGACGCCAGUCUGCAUGGAGCCGACCUUGAAAUACCACCCUUUAAUGUUUGAUGUUCUAACGUGGACCCGUUACCCGGGUUGCGGACAGUGUCUGGUGGGUAGUUUGACUGGGGCGGUCUCCUCC